rnacentral:misc_RNA from 1 species
AAGUCGUAACAAGGUUUCCGUAGGUGAACCUGCGGAAGGAUCAUUACUGAACUGUCAACACGAGUUGUUGCUGGUCCUCAAACGGGGGCAUGUGCACACUCUGUUUACACACCCACUCACACCUGUGCACCCUCUGUAGUUCUGUGGUGUGGGGGACUCUGUCCUCCCGCUGUGGUUCUAUGUCUUUACACACACACUGUAAUAAAGUCUCAUGGAAUGUGUACCGCGUCUAACGCAAUACAAUACAACUUUCAGCAACGGAUCUCUUGGCUCUC